rnacentral:rRNA from 1 species
AUUGAACGCUGGCGGCAUGCUUUACUCAUGCAAGUCGGACCGUAACAGUCCGCCAGGUGCUUACGAGUGGCGGACGGGUGAGUAAUGCAUCGGAACGUGCCCAGUCAUGGGGGAUAACUACUCGAAAGAGUAGCUAAUACCGCAAACGAUCUAUGGAUGAAAGCGGGGGACCGAAGGGCCUCUCGCGAUUGCACCGGCCGAUUACACACUAGGUAGUUGGUGUGGGAAAGGCUCACCAAGCCAACGAUCUGUAGCUGGUCUGCGAGGACGCUCAGCCACACUGGGAAGGAGACACGGCCCAGACUCCUACGGGAGGCAGUAGUGGGGAAUUUUGGACAAUGGGCGCAAGCCUGAUCCAGCAAUGCCGAGUGCAGGAAGAAGGCCUUCGGGUUGUAAACUGCUUUUGUACGGAACGAAACUGCUCUGGUUAAUACCCGGGGCUAAUGACGGUACCGUAAGAAUAAGCACCGGAUAACUACGUG